rnacentral:lncRNA from 1 species
UACAUCCUUCUUUUUGUUACUCCAUUGAUUAAAAUCCUAUUCAUUUUCAAUUUUUGAUCAAGGUCCUUGGGUAUUAAUAACAUCAUUAAUUAUUUGAAUAAUAAAAUAUUUUUAUUUUUAAAUAUAUUCCUUUUGUGUUAAAAAUAUUACAAUUAGUAUAUUUAUAUUUAUGGCUAAAUUUUUUAUCAUAUAUUUUUAUUUUUAGUUUGUACCAAUUUUUAAUUUGCAAAUCUUUUUUAAUUUGUACCAAUUUUCUUUUCAUUUUUAAUUUGUACCCAUAUAUUAGUUUCUUUUUGUGCCCAUAUUUUUUAAAGUUUUAUUUAUGUUUGUACCCAUGUGUAUACCAUCACGUGACAUUGUAUAUUUAAUCAAUGAUAGAAAAAUUACAUAUGGUAUAUUUAUGUUUUAUGCCUAAACUUUGUAUCAUAUAUUUAUAUUUUUAGUUUGUACCCACUUUUAAUUUGCAACAUUUUUUUUUUAAAUUUGUAGUAUUUUCUUUUUAGUUUUAUUUUGUACCCAUUUAUUAAUUUCUUUUAGCACCUAUAUUUUUUAAAAUUCAUUUGUACUCAUAAUUUUUAAUCUUUUAUUUGUACCCUAAUUUAUUUAUAAUGUACCCAUUCUUCUUUAUUAAUGUACCACUUUGUUAUAUGUGAAAUGUACCAAUUUUUUUUUGUAAAAUGUACCAAUUUUUUUAACACUAUGGAUACAUUCUUUUGCCAUUUAUUAUUUCUUAUUUUUACAUAGUUUUUAUCCAUUUAUUCAAUUAAAAUGUUUGAAUUUUUUUAUUAUAACCGCUUCUAAUAGUAUUAUAAUGAGGGAUUUUAAAUUUAUAGGAUUAUAAAUCUCAUAAAAUAUCAAACAAUUAAUGUCAAAACUAUAAGAAUAUAAAUAUUAAUAGUAAUAUAAUGAGGUAUACAAAGUCAAGGGACCUUGAUCAAACUUUGAAUACUAUUAAGGUUUUAAUCAAAGAAUGUUAAGGAUUAGGGACCGCAAUCAAAUUAUCCCUAUUCUAAUAUAUAUGUAAUUAAAAAAUAAAAAUUUAACCUUUAUCCCACUACUGUGUUCUUUCUCACUUUCUUCCUCUCAUCUCUUCCACAAUCCACACUAACCACCUACAACCCCAAUAUGUGGGAAUUUUUUUUAUUGGGAAAUUGUUUUUUCUUUUAAAAUUCUAAUUGAUUAAGGACAACUUUAGGAUUAUGAAAGUUUCACUCUAUUUGCAUCUUCAAUUUAUAUAUACUGGUCUUUUACCACACGUGUAGUUUGUAGUCGUGUGAUAAUUGCCUCUUUUUUAUUUUAUUUAUUUAUUCUCAAAAAGUUGAAUUAUUUACAUGUGUUUAAAAGAUUAAAUAAAAUAGAUAUGUAGGUAAGUCCUCCUCAUAUACGUGAGGUAGUUUUGAUUUUAAUUUUUAUAGUUUUCUCCCUUAUAAAUUAAAUUGCGUUAUUUAAAAAAUUAAAUAAGGGAGCGGCAUUUUUAGUAUUACUUUUUAACAUAUUUUCACUUUGUGUAUACAUAUAAAUUUAUUUAUUUAUUAUUUUACAAAAACAAAAUUAUUGAUUAUUUAUAUUAUUAAUAGGUCUGUAAAUUUUUUGGAUGACUUGUUACUUGACACCAAAUAUCACGAAAAUAACUAAUUUUAGGUCAACCUAUUAACAAACCAGAUCGUUAUUUAUAAUAGAUAAUGUCAUAUUUUUGUGUUCUGAAAUUGUAACUUGCAAGUGAAUGAAAGUUGAACUUUGUAAGGACAUGAGAUCUAAUUUGGGAAUCUUCUAUAGCCAAUCCCAUAAUUUUUGCUCACCAUCUGACUAUAAUAGUCAUCAUCUUAUAUAUGAUUGUUGAAUGAGUUUAAAUUUUAA